CUCUCUCUCUCUCUCUCUCUCUCUCUCUCUCUCUCUCUCUUCAGAACUUGGGUUUCUGUCUUCGUCCAAACUCAGGUUCCAAGGGCCUGAGGAUCCACGACAACCCUGCUCUCGAGCACGCCUCCAAGGCCUCCAAUUUCCUCUACCCGGUCUUCUUCAUCGAUCAACACUGCAUGAAUCCCGACCCGAACGCACCCUCGGCCGGAUCCUCCAAGGCCAGCCUGAACCGAAUCUGGCGCUCAUUAGGUUUGCUCUAAUUUAUCCUUCUUCUUUUUUUCACUCUUGUCUUUCUCCAUCUCUUUGUUGUCUCUCUUUCUCCUUUCGGCUAAAACCCAGACCCAAAAAGCACAAAAUCAGAAACGCACCAAACCCAAAUCUGAAUCACACAUCCCUUCCCCUCCGUUUUUUCCGUCAGUCUUCUCUCUCACGCUCUCAUAUCCCGCCUAAAUGCAAUCCAGACCCAAAAACCCUAAUACCCAAAACACAAAUCCUAACCCCUCAGCUCCAAUACCCCACAUCUCGAUUUUGUACUUUUAUGUUCUGUGUUUGUAUGAAUUGACAACUGUCUCAAUUUUUAUCAGGUUUGAGUUAAUUUUCGAUCCAUGAUAGAUUCCCAAAUGCCCAGGAAGAAAUUUUGGUUUCCAAAUCGGCAAGCUGAGCAUGGCUCUUAUUUUCAGUUCAUCUUCACCACUCUACUUUGCCUCGUUUUGGAAAGUGGUGCUGCUAGGUGGGUAAUUUUAUUAACAAUUGAAGAAUGGCCGAUAGCAUGAAGCAAUUCCAGAAAAUCUUAAUUGAGCAUGAGACUCAAGCUGAGCACCUCUUUCUAGCUAAACACCAGGUUCAGCGAAUAAUUACUAGUUGUAGAGGUUUUGGUUUCCUCCAA